UUCCGGUUGAUCCUGCCGGAGGUUACUGCUAUCGAGGUUCGACUAAGCCAUGCGAGUCGAAUGUAGCAAUACAUGGCGAACUGCUCAGUAACACGUGGACAACCUGCCCUUAGGACGGGGAUAAACCCGGGAAACUGGGUAUAAUACCCGAUAGGUCUCGAUUGCUGGAAUGCAUCGAGAUUUAAAGCUCCGGCGCCUAAGGAUGGGUCUGCGGCCUAUCAGGUAGUAGUGGGUGUAGCGUACCUACUAGCCUACGACGGGUACGGGUUGUGAGAGCAAGAGCCCGGAGAUGGAUUCUGAGACACGAAUCCAGGCCCUACGGGGUGCAGCAGGCGCGAAAACUUUACAAUGCUGGCAACAGCGAUAAGGGAACCUCGAGUGCCAGGUUACAAAUCUGGCUGUCGAGAUGCCUAAAAAGCAUUUCAUAGCAAGGGCCGGGCAAGACCGGUGCCAGCCGCCGCGGUAACACCGGCGGCUCGAGUGGUAACCGUUAUUAUUGGGUCUAAAGGGUCCGUAGCCGGCCGGAUAAGUCUCUUGAGAAAUCUGGCAGCUUAACUGUCAGGCUUUCAGGAGAUACUGUCUGGCUCGAGGCCGGGAGAGGUGAGAGGUACUUCAGGGGUAGGGGUGAAAUCUUGUAAUCCUUGAAGGACCACCAGUGGCGAAGGCGUCUCACCAGAACGGACCUGACGGCAAGGGACGAAAGCUAGGGGCACGAACCGGAUUAGAUACCCGGGUAGUCCUAGCCGUAAACGAUACUCGCUAGGUGUCGGCCACGGUGCGACCGUUGUCGGUGCCGUAGGGAAGCCGUGAAGCGAGCCACCUGGGAAGUACGGCCGCAAGGCUGAAACUUAAAGGAAUUGGCGGGGGAGCACCACAACGG
rnacentral:rRNA from 1 species